rnacentral:rRNA from 1 species
AACGAACGCUGGCGGCAUGCCUAACACAUGCAAGUCGAACGAGACCUUCGGGUCUAGUGGCGCACGGGUGCGUAACGCGUGGGAACCUGCCCUUAGGUUCGGAAUAACUCCCCGAAAGGGGUGCUAAUACCGGAUAAUGUCUUCGGACCAAAGAUUUAUCGCCUUUGGAUGGGCCCGCGUUGGAUUAGCUAGUUGGUAGGGUAAAAGCCUACCAAGGCGACGAUCCAUAGCUGGUCUGAGAGGAUGAUCAGCCACACUGGGACUGAGACACGGCCCAGACUCCGACGGGAGGCAGCAGUGGGGAAUAUUGGACAAGGGGCGAAAGCCUGAUACAGCAAUGCCGCGUGAGUGAUGAAGGCCUUAGGGUUGUAAAGCUCUUUUACCCGGGAUGAUAAUGACAGUACCGGGAGAAUAAGCUCCGGCUAACUCCGUG